CUUUCAAGCCAAACCUUUCUAUCAAUUCUCCUUCAUGAUAUAACUCUUAAGCCAUGGGUAAGGUUAUCACAUAAGUAUUUAGAUCUUCAAAAUCUCUACUUUAUGAAUUAUAACUUUAAAGCCUACUAAACAAUAUAAGUAUUCAUGUGGUUCUUUUGGCUAAUGGAAUUGCAACAAAACUGCUAUCCCAAAAUCACAUCAUUUACACCAAAGAAUAUAAACUGGAAUGACUGCAGGGGACCAACAGAAAACAUAAAAGUAUGACUAGGACAAAAGCUGCUGAACCAUUUCUGUCUCUACCAAACAUAACAUUCACUUGGCUGCACUACAGAGCCCAACCCAAAAACUCCCAGGACCACCGGCCAUCAGCUCACAACCUCCACUUUGCAAGCCACCACCACCAUGGACGCUACAAGGAAGGUUGAUGUCAAUAAGCAAUCCUUCAUCCCAAGAGGUAUACAAUCUGAAAGAGUCAAUAAUGAGAUUUCUAAUUUAGGGUAUCUGAUUCAGAAUGUCACAUGUCACAUAAAGUAAUGGUGAAGGAACAUGUGAGGAUAUUCACAUAUUUUUAUUUGAUUGGCUUCUUUAUUUAACCAUAUUUAAUAAGAAUCUUUAAUUAGCCUUUCAAACCUCUGCUUUCACCAGUAGCAGUGAAUUGACUGAAUUGUAUUAUCCUUUGAAUAGAUAAGCCUUAAAACAAGAACAAUUCAAGAGUCAAA
rnacentral:lncRNA from 1 species